CGUUGUGCCAUUGAUCGUGCGCGCCGCUACACCGUCUACCCACUAACUGCGAUCGUAUGCUCCGUCAUUGUGAUCAGUUGCGUGUUGGCGUUCCUGUCCAACGGGUGUGCUUUCCUUUUUCGCUCGCGUUCGCGAAUCGUUGUAAGCAGUGUCCUUGCGCCAAGCAGGACAUUUGGGAUUGGAUUGUGUUGUGAAAUUAGAAGUGUAGAUAAAUAUUGGAUUAAUCUGUUGGAGAAUAAAAACACAAAUUGUAUGAAAA